CGCCUCCUGAAAAAAAUAGGAGGUCCAGCCUGCCCAGUGACCAAGUUAAACGGCCGCGGUACCCUAACCGUGCGAAGGUAGCGCAAUCACUUGUUCUUUAAAUGAGGACUAGUAUGAACGGCAUCACGAGGGUCUCACUGUCUCCCCCCUCUAAUCAGUGAAACUGAUCUCCCCGUGAAGAAGCGGGGAUAAAUAUAUAAGACGAGAAGACCCCAUGGAGCUUUAAACUCAAUUUCAACUACCAUAAAUAAACCAUAAAAAAUAGGUGGCCAUGACUAUUAGUUUUCGGUUGGGGUGACCACGGAGCAAAACAUAACCUCCACGACGAAUGACUCUCUACCUCUAAUCAUAGAGUGACGACUCAAAGAAUCAACAAAUUGACCCAUUUGACCCAAAUUUUUGAUCAACGAACCAAGUUACCCUGGGGAUAACAGCGCAAUCCAUUUCAAGAGCCCCUAUCGACAAAUGGGUUUACGACCUCGAUGUUGGAUCAGGGUAUCCUAGUGGUGCAGCCGCUACUAAAGGUUCGUUUGUUCAACGAUUAAAACCCU
rnacentral:rRNA from 1 species